UGAGAACUGAAUUCCAUAGGCCGUGAGCUCUAGCAAAUGCCCUGGGGACUCAGUUCUGGU
ensembl:miRNA ocu-mir-146b ocu-mir-146b